CCUGUGAGCUCAUCGGCCUGUAUCCAUUUGGCUGUUGAAAGUUCGUCACUUUCCAGUAGAUAGGGAUCAGUUAAAUCCAGUGGGAAGGGAACAGCAUGUUAACAGAGCCUGAAGCAUCCGAGGGAAUCGUGGCUAGGGAUGAAAGGCCAGUUGAGGAGACCACUGUUUGCCUUGGAACUGGCUUUGCAAAAGAGACACAUUCAUCAUGUAAUAAGGUGAUGCAAGCUGUUACAACAUACCAAAAUGA